UCGUGAAGACACGUCCAGAGAAGACACCAUGACACCAUGACUCUGCUCCAAGUUUAAUAUAUCCUUUACGGAGAAGGGAGUGGACGUGCUGGGGCUGGGAAACAUUGCCAAGAAGUCCACAAAAAAAGGAAAGAAACCCAAUUAACCUGUCAUAUGGAAGCAACAGGAAGACGUCAACAAACUUCCUCUCCUUACUGAACUUUUUUCUUUCUUGGCCUCCCUCUCCUGUACCGGUGACGUCGCGAGGAGGAGGGAGGGUGGGGAGCCAGUGGGACCCUCCGUGUGGAGCCAUUGGUUCUCCCAUUUCAUGACGGGAAGUGAUGUCUGGAACAUACGAGCGUCCAAAAAGAAUCGAGGUGAGCAGACACCAGGAUGGGAGCGUGAACACAGAAUCUGAAACCAUAGAGCGACACACACUCGGCUGUCUGCCUCCGACAGAUUCUGGAGCCACUGUCUGCCUUAUCAGGACGUGAUAACAGAUGACAACAAACCUGCACACACACACACACACACACACACACCCACCCACCCACCCACCCACGCUGCAGGACAGGUUAUCCUGCAAGAAGUGUCACAUGUGACACCCUCUGUUUAAACCGUUAAAUCUGCCCUUUAGCUUUUUAAUUUUCCCACCGCGAAGAUGUUUUUUGUUUUUUCGAUUGCAAGACUUAAAGUUCUCCAGCCGCGCGUUCUUUAUCAUAGCAUCUAAUGAGAUGAUGGCGAGCACAAGAUUAGCAUAUACUGUUUAUAGAGGACAAUAACAAGGUACAAAUCAUCUGGCCGUGCAGCAGUAAAACAAGAGACGAGUGUGCGCCAUGACGCACGGCCUUCACGCGCGCCUUCCCCCCGCGCGGUUGGCACUAAAACCUGCUAUUAAUGCCUGUGGAGACGGUCACAGGAGACAGACAGUAUUAUCGUUUGUUUUAUCUUCAGCGUUUAGCGCAGCCACGGGGUAAAUGGGUCCCCCUGUCUCCGACCCGGCGAUGGUGUUUAUAGUUUUGAAGACUAUUUGUGCGCGUCGCCAGCUGAUGAAUGGCCGUGGAGUCUCUCCCGGGCGCGCCGAGAAGUCAACACGGGCCCCGGCUCUCGCUGUAAUAAUUGGGGAAAUAAAGUAAACGCGUGCAGGGCGGGAGACACACGGGACGCGGUGGACAUGUUUUCAUCGUGAUUAAUUUCCACUGGGCCCUGCGCAGUUUGAGUGUGAUGUUUAGGUGGAUUUUUUGGGGGGGAAAGGAAAUUCAAAAUUCAAACGAUUAAUCCCGCAGGGCAGAGUAUUCGGCGAAUUAAACAUACACACCGCCACUCGUGCCGGAUGGUAAACUAUAUUCUGUCAGCGGUAAAUUGGACAUGACACGUCUGGCAUGUGUUUCACAUCCCUAAUGCCUCGUCCUGCAGCAGCAGCCGCAGCGCCGUUCCCCCUUUGACCUGUCUUUCUGCAGCACAUCUCCAGCUCAGAUAAUGCUGCAGAUAAGGUUGCUUAAAAACUUCCGCUGCACGAACGUGUGGGUAUUUUGAGGGUUGCGUGUCGGAGUGAGGAGCCCCCUCCGAGCGCGUGCGCGUGAGAGAGAGAGAGAGAGAGAGAGAGAGAGAGAGAGAGAGAGAGAGAGAGAGAGAAAGAAAAUGAAGUGUCCUGUCUUUUCUAAAAGCUCCUGUUGGACGCCGCCUUGGUACUCUCUCUGCCCCGAAGGCCCUUAGGGCGAUUUUCAUCCAUUAACUGUUCGACAAUUAGACCGACUGGGACUGAACAGGCUCGUUAAGAUACAAUCAGAUAAUCCCAUUGAGAAUGUCACACAGCAACACUUUCUCCACAAAUGCUCACUCGUCCUACCCGUUCGGAGAAAUGUCCGUGCGUCACAGUCGUACAUAGAAGAUGUGGUAGUGUUAGAGACAAUAUCACAAUUCCAGCAUUCAAAAACUUUGCAUGUGCAAAAGCGCACGAAUAUAAGUUGUAAAAUGUUAAAGGAGCCUCCUCUCUCUGAGGACCCAGCGUCCCGUUAACGAUGCAUUCUUUCUUAAGUGUGUUAAGGUUUGAGGUCCUUCAGGUUUUCAGCUUGAAUUAUUGGCUUGUUUAAAGGGAUUUUACAAUGUAUGUUAUAAGUAAUUUAAGGUAACUUCAUCUGUAAAAAAAAGAAUAAAUAAACAUCUGCCUA